rnacentral:rRNA from 1 species
AUACGGAGGAUGCAAGCGUUAUCCGGAUUUAUUGGGUUUAAAGGGUGCGUAGGCGGUUUGCUAAGCGGGAGGUGAAAUGCCGGCGCUCAACGUCGGAAGUGCCUCCCGAACUGGUGGACUGGAAUGACUCUGCCGUGGGAGGAAUGUGUAGUGUAGCGGUGAAAUGCUUAGAGAUUACACAGAACACCGAUUGCGAAUGCAUCUCACGAAGAGUUGAUUGACGCUGAGGCACGAAAGCGUUGGGAUCAAACAGGAUUAGAUACCCUGGUAGUCCACGCAGUAAACGAUGAUGGCUAACCGCUGGUUUAUGCGGAUCAGUGGCCAAGCGAAAGCGAUAAGCCAUCCACCUGGGGAGUACGACCGCAAGGUUGAAACUCAAAGGAAUUGACGGGG